ensembl:lncRNA LINC00635 long intergenic non-protein coding RNA 635
AGAGAGCCUGGCUGAAGCUGUAUUACCAUUCAUUCUCCAGCCUCCGAAGUCUCAAAGCAUCACUUCCACCAUACUCUAACUGUCAAGACAAACACAAAGGCCCAGAAACUGCCAGACUGUCUUCUGAAGUGGCUAUAAUAUUUACACUCCCAUCAGCAGUGUAGAAGGGGUCUCACUAUGUUGUCUGGAGUGCUGUGGUGGAGUGGAGUGGCUAUUCACAGCUGAGUUUGCAGAGUAAACCACUACCCUGAAAUCUGGAAAGGCAGGUGCACCCACAGAUCCUCAGCUGAGAUCCAAUUACCUGAAAUAGAAGCUGCCAUUAGGAACACUUAAAAGAGCCUGUUCUGCUGGGACACAGAAUCACUUGCUCCAUCUCAUACAUUGAUGAUGAUUAAUUUGUAUGUGUACCUUCCAAAAAAGAUGGUUGUGUUUGAAUGGAGGCCUUCUGGACAGGAAAAUAUGGAGAGUGCGUGCUUUGGAUUCAAGACUGGGAAUGAGGGGACCAGAAACCUAUUCUGUGGCUGUUUCUUGUUAGGACUUUCCUAAGCCUCUGGAAAAGGUUCAAUCCUGCUGAUGCUCUCCAUGGAGAUGGUCAGCAAGUGCAAAGUACAAUUAACAUUUGAGUCUGUCUGAGUCAUGAAGAAAUGGAGAUUACUGAAAAUAAUUCAUUUUGGUAUCUUCUUACAUCCUGAGAGACUAAUCUUUCCAAGUUCAUCUGAGGCUCCUCUUCUCCAUGACAACCUCAUCCAGGGAUUUCUUCCUGUCCUGGUGUUUUAUGACAUGUGGAAGGGGACUGUAGCAGGUGAUCUCCAAAGUCUCUGGAGACUUACUAAUGUGCAUCCUCAUCUCGCUUGUAAGGAUAAUAGCCUUCCUCCAAACCUCACACACUUUUGGAGGAGAUCACUUUUUUUAAAGUGCAUGGAAAUGUUUUGAAACAGUGAAAUCUAUAAUGAUAGGUUUCAUAAUUCUAACAUCCACACCAUAUGAAUCACAUCCUUCCUGAGAUAAUGAGCACACAAUUGCCUGGAUACCUGAAGGAAUGGAGACAGCGGCAGAAAACACUGCAGAGAGGUGGAAACAUCCGUUAAUAUUUUAAAAUCCCAUUACUGCUACCAACAAUAAUAAUGGAUGCAUAGAAAUAGAUCUGGAUUAGCUGAGCUUGAAACAGUCCAUCUCACACACACACAAAAGAAUUUCAGAUACAGUGAACCCACAUGUUGAAGCUUUCUAGUAUAAUAAAAAUUUCAACUGUUCUGUUGAAUCAUCUGCCUGAUUGGAGGCUACAGAAAAGAUGUCAUCUUAGGAGUGCUUGCUCUGAGUGAGGCUCAUCUUCAAAUCUGAAUGACCACAAGGAGAUUUGAUUAUACAUGUGAACACCUCAGAAGGCACAGCCCACCCAGAAGGCAGACAGAAGAAGCUGCCAGGAAGACUGUGAAAUCUUCAUGCCCAAGGAUCCCUAAAAUUAGGAGCAACAACCACUUGGCUCAGACGGUUUAUGGAGGCAAAGGUUUGGAUGGGAUUAGAGAUUUCUAAAUGUGAGUUCGUGUCCUCUGCCAGACCACCUUACUUCCACCAUUCCUCAGCAAAUCAAGAAAAACAGGAGAAAAGACAUGCCUUUCCAUAAGUUAAAUCUAUUCUGUUUUAAUUCUAUAUUAUAUCUGCUGUACAACUUCUUUUGUUUGUAACACCAUAUUGUUGCUAGUAACUGGAAAUUAAUUUUCACAUGCCUCAGCUUAGAAAAAUAAAAAGCAGCCCUGCAUCAAUCCC